UGGGCUGUAGCUUGGUGGCAGAGCACUUGCCUAGUAUGCACGAGGCCCUGGGUUUAAUCCCCAGAACCACAA
rnacentral:tRNA from 1 species